rnacentral:rRNA from 1 species
UACGUAGGUGGCUAGCGUUGUCCGGAUUUACUGGGCGUAAAGAGCGCGCAGGCGGUCGUUCAAGUCGAGUGUGAAAGCCCCCGGCUCAACUGGGGAGGGUCACUCGAUACUGAUCGACUCGAAGGCAGGAGAGGGAAGCGGAAUUCCCGGUGUAGUGGUGAAAUGCGUAGAUAUUCGGAGGAACACCAGUGGCGAAGGCGGCUCACUGGUCCAUUACUGACGCUGAGGUGCGAAAGCGUGGGGAGCAAACAGG